UGUUUAUCCAGUCAACAUUCAAGAGCAAGUUGUUCAGUUUCCAUGAAGCUGUGCAUUUCUGGGAGUUUCUUAAUUGUGAGUUCUCAUUUGAUUGCACUGUGGCCUGAGAGACUGGUUGUUAUGAUUUCUGUUCCUUUGCCUUUGCUGAGUAGUGUUUUACUUACAAUUAUGAGGUCAAUUUUAGAAUAAGUGUGAUGUGGUGCUGAGAAGAAUGUAUAUUCUGUUCAUUUGGGGUAGAGAGUUUUAUAGAUGUCUCUUAGGUCCAUGUGGUUCAGAGCUGAGUUCAAGUCCUGAGCAUCCUUGUUAAUUUUCUGUCUUGUUGAUCUGU